AUGGAUUUAGUUCACCUUAUAUCAUUAUCAGCUGUAAUAUUUUGUGUCCUAAGAUGUUUACAGUCUGGUAUUGUGCUGUGCUAUGAAACUUGUAUGAGACUUUUUUCUUCUUCUGCUACUAUGUAUGACUAUAUGGAAAGUGGCUCAAUUAUGCUUUUGUUCUGGACUUAUGGAAAGUGGCAUAACUACUUCCUCACCCCCCAGAUGUAUGCACAUAGCUCUGUUUGUUGCAAGUUGAUAUUUCUAAUCCAUUUUAUAUCUCAUGAAUCGAGAAUGGAAUAUUUUAAACUGGAAUGUUAG
rnacentral:rRNA from 1 species